AGUGGCCCCAGUACAAGGAACUUAGUCCCACCCCACUAGCGAUAAAAAAAAAUUCAUCCAGCUUCUGCUCAUUACAGUGUUUCAGAGGCACACGUCUUCUGGGUUGAAGAGUACUGCACGCAAGAAACCAGGAUGGCUUACUCUUUGACCAUGAAGAUGGUGAUGUCUUCUUGUGAAGAUGUUACACAGUAGGAAGAAAGAAUAUGGGAAGAAACCAAGAAGCUGUAAGAUGAACAGGACUGAAGAAGAGGUUUAUAAGAAUGGAAAUGUCAGAGGAAGAAAUAUGCUUAAUAAUAUACAUAAAGAUAAGCAUACUGGUGAGUGUAAGGACAGACAAUAAGCAGUAAAUAUAUUAUCCUCAGAAUGUCCUUAUAUGGUGAUAUUCCAGAAAAUUUAGAUGUGAUAACAUAUAUGGGAUAAUAAUUAAUGUUUAUUAUCUGUAUUACUGUAGACAAUUGCACUAUCAAGUUUUCUCCUAAAUAAGAGAUCCAAGUCUCAUGGAAAUAAGGAAAUACUGUAUAUUUCAUAUACACCGGGCUUUUCAAUAGCAAGAGACGUAAAUUAAAAACUGAAUAUGCGUUGUCCUUUCCUGCUUUUUCAUAUUGUAACCAUUUUCCUGAUAUAUUAAAGAUAAAUUAUCAUACUUCAUAUUGACAUACAAUAUUUAAUAUUUGUUGAGAUUUAUAGUUAAGAAGAGUACUGUGUUUAUAAAAUACCUGUUUGACAGUAUCAAGUCAUUCAACUUGGAAACAGCAAAGUUUUCAUGAGAUGCCAAAGCAAAAAAGUGAUCUUUCUGGGUUAUAAUACAAUGAUAAUUCACCAAAACAAUUCAAAUGUCACGAAACGGAGAGACAAUUCAUAGCCAUUUGAGAAUGGACUGUAUGAAUGUCACUUAACUAAAUAACUUUACAGUUUACAAACAAGAUUAACUCAAACACAAAUUAUACUACAUGAAUGAUUAAUACUGGAAAGACAGUAACACGAAUUCAAGAUACUGGCCACAGAAAAAUAGCUUAAAGAUUACUGCAAAAACAAACUCAGUAUUAUAACAUACUACUAAUCCUAAAUUUAGCAUUAAAUGGCAUACAAAUAAUUCAAGAAAAAUAAACACAAUUAUUAUAUUUAUAUAAUGCAAACCAAACUUUUAAUACUUAUAUAUAAGGACCUUAGUAGUAACAGUCAAAUAAAAAAUCAAAUUAAAAAAUGGCACAUUUUUUGAUCAAAGAAGUUUCAGCAAUAUACCAAACAUAAACCAACACAAUUCCAAGUGCUCUGUAAAUUCAUAAAUUCAAUCUAUUGUAGUCCCAAUUCUUUUUAGGCAUUUACCUUUCUGAAGCAACAUUAAACAUGCUCACACAUAUAAGGUCUGAAGACAAACAUGACUGUUCAUAAAUUUGAGGAAAAUUAAUCUUAGAGAAACUACACAUGUAAUUUCAUGAAUACAUGACCAAAACUGACUUUUAAACAAACAAAUGCUAUUAUUCAUUUUCAUGGUAAAACCCUGAAGAUGGAGUCAAUACAUUCACCUGAAACACUGAUAUUAAUCAACAAUAUUAUAUUUACUUAUUUGAAAAUGAGAAUUGAAAUAUACAAAAUUCUCUAUUGAGAGUUCCAUCUUCUGAGAUGUAAUGCUGUGUGAUGUAAAUAUCAACUGAUGGUUCAGAGGACCAUAUAACCUCUAUCUUCAGGGACCAAAGAGCAAGUCAAUCUGGAAAUCAGGGGAGAAGGGGGGGGGAAGCAAGAGCUUGUCUUGGUUAGU